ACAAAAUAGUUUUGUUUGUGUAUGUGUGUGUGUUUGUGUUGGUGUUGAGAAAUGACAUUGCGAGACAGGGUGACCAGAACGGUUCGGUACUUCGUGUUGAAUGGCCAUGUUGUGUUGCUUUCCUUUCUUAGCUUGAGCAAAAAUAGCUGAAAAUCGCUACAUUUCUUAUGAUUUAAGCUCUGCAAGCUCCAGAUUCAUCGGGCUCCUCCAUAUGCCAUGGACAAACAUCGAACCAAAUCUGCCUUGAACCACCGCCAGGAUACAUUUCCGGUCAUACAAUACAUCUCACAUUUCGUGUGUUCUAACCAGUUUUGAAACUCAAGAAGCUUCAUCCAAAAUAUAUUGCUGCCAUUCC